GGGGGAUAUUGCGCAAUGGGGGCAACCCUGACGCAGCAACGCCGCGUGAAGGAUGAAGGUUUUCGGAUUGUAAACUUCUUUUAUUAAGGACGAAAAAUGACGGUACUUAAUGAAUAAGCUCCGGCUAACUACGUGCCAGCAGCCGCGGUAAUACGUAGGGAGCAAGCGUUGUCCGGAUUUACUGGGUGUAAAGGGUGCGUAGGCGGCUUUGCAAGUCAGAUGUGAAAUCUAUGGGCUCAACCCAUAAACUGCAUUUGAAACUGUAGAGCUUGAGUGAAGUAGAGGCAGGCGGAAUUCCCCGUGUAGCGGUGAAAUGCGUAGAGAUGGGGAGGAACACCAGUGGCGAAGGCGGCCUGCUGGGCUUUAACUGACGCUGAGGCACGAAAGCGUGGGUAGCAAACAGGAUUAGAUACCCUGGUAGUCCACGCUGUAAACGAUGAUUACUAGGUGUGGGGGGUCUGACCCCUUCCGUGCCGGAGUUAACACAAUAAGUAAUCCACCUGGGGAGUACGGCCGCAAGGUUGAAACUCAAAGGAAUUGACGGGGGCCCGCACAAGCAGUGGAGUAUGUGGUUUAAUUCGAAGCAACGCGAAGAACCUUACCAGGUCUUGACAUCCAACUAACGAAGUAGAGAUACAUUAGGUGCCCUUCGGGGAAAGUUGAGACAGGUGGUGCAUGGUUGUCGUCAGCUCGUGUCGUGAGAUGUUGGGUUAAGUCCCGCAACGAGCGCAACCCUUGCUAUUAGUUGCUACGCAAGAGCACUCUAAUAGGACUGCCGUUGACAAAACGGAGGAAGGUGGGGACGACGUCAAAUCAUCAUGCCCCUUAUGACCUGGGCUACACACGUACUACAAUGGAUGUUAACAGAGGGAAGCAAGACAGCGAUGUGGAGCAAACCCCUAAAAACAUUCUCAGUUCAGAUUGCAGGCUGCAACCCGCCUGCAUGAAGAUGGAAUUGCUAGUAAUCGCGGAUCAGCAUGCCGCGGUGAAUACGUUCCCG
rnacentral:rRNA from 2 species